AUUGAACGCUAGCGGGGUGCCUUACACAUGCAAGUCGAACGGAGUGGCGAACGGGUGAGUAAUGUACCGGAACGUGCCCAGUCGCGGGGGAUAACUACGCGAAAGCGAAGCUAAUCCCGCAUCCUAUUUGAGCGCCCGUGAUCGGAUUAGCUAGUUGGUGGGGUAACGGCUCACCAAGGCGACGAGCCGUAGCUGGGUUGAGAGGACGACCAGCCACACUGGGACUGAGACACGGCCCAGACUCCUACGGGAGGCAGCAGUGGGGAAUUUUGGACAAUGGGGGAAACCCUGAUCCAGCCAUCCCGCGUGUGCGAUGAAGGCCUUCGGGUUGUAAAGCACUGUUGGCAGGAAAGCGGUACCUGCAGAAUAAGCACCGGCUAACUACGUGCCAGCAGCCGCGGUAAUUC
rnacentral:rRNA from 1 species